UUGACAGCAACAGUGAGCCCAGAAACUGGUACAGCUGCUGUGAGUGAAGAUAAAACAGCAAGGUACUUCAUUUUUGACUGAAAAGCCUUUUUCUUUUUGUUGAUGAUCCCAAGAUCAACAAUGGGCAAGGCUAACAGCAGAGCAUCUCUCUUGUGUGCAGGAAGCUCUCUCUCCAGGGUCUCCUCUAACAGAUGGAAGUCAUACAGGUGGAGAUUAAAACUGGACAACAGGAAGACUUGUGGAGACCGUAUACCUUGUUUUUCAAGACCUGCAUCACAAAGAGAACAGACAAGUUAUUUCCAGACAAUGAAAUUGGAACAGAGUAAAGAAAAGCUCCAGCAACCCUCUGCAGGUUCAAUACAGAUGGUCUACUGUGAAGGACCAGGGUACGCAAAAACUACAAGAGCAGGGUCUGUGGAUACGCCAUCCUUCGAGAUGACGUGGCCGAGGUAGGUGACCUUUUUCCGAAACAGGCCGCAUUUAUGAGGCUGCAACUUCAGGCCGUGGACAACCAGCUUUUCGGAGACAGGUGUUAAAUGUGGGUGUCGAAAUCAGGGGAGUAUACCACCACAUCAUCCAAAUAGAUCAGUAGAGACUCAUUUACCUGUGCUGUCAGGCAGCACUUCAUUAGUCUUUGGAAAGUGGCAGGGGCAUUACAGAGGCCAAAGGGCAUCCCCUGGAACACCAUCUGCCAAAAUCUGCUUGCAAGGUCCAGAGUGGAGUACCAAGUGGCUUGUUUUAGACUUGUGAGGGAUUCUUCUAUUCUGGGCAGGGGGUAGGCGUCUUUGUGAGUCAGGGAAUUGAGCUUCCUGUAAUCAACACAGAAGCGCCAGGAUCCAUUUUUCUUUUUCACAAGUAUAAUGGGCACUGCCCAAGGGCUAGAACAUUCCUUAAUAACAUCGGUGUCCAACCAAACCAAAAAUACAUUUAUUUCAAGGCAAACAAGAUACAUACAGACCAAACUCUGUCCCUCUAGAACACAUUCAAAGUCAACAACCAUCUCACAAAAACUGAAGGAUGAACAGAACUUAAAUACUAGCAAGAGUAAUCAGAAAGACAAGACACAGGUGGGGAGGGAGGAAAAAUACAGGAGCACCAGGUGAACACAAUCAGGAAAUCAAACAGGAGGGAAACACCGAGACAGUAAGUAAAAGCAGACAUAUCUAGGGGGGUGCACACUUUUCAAAAUAAAACAGGAACACAAAGACAGAUCUUGACAAUUCAAAAUUAAACACAGAAAAACACAGACAGAUCGUGACGUUUUAUCGUUAUUUCAUUUAUAGCAAUUUUCACAUCUAUCACAAUACUCAAACAACAUUUUGGACAAUUCUAGGAAAAACAACAGCAGUAUGGCACCGCUAUAUAAAAAGAACAAGAAGUGAAUAAAAACCAACUCUAUAUGACCAAAUAAAUAAAGGGUAAAAACCAAUAUAAAGUUCAUCCUGUUAUACAAGCAAUGAAGUGCCCAAAUCAAACACCUGCUGCAGUGACUGACAGAAAUUCUUAUGGCGAUCAUGUUGUUCGAUGCUAGGGAAUAAGGGUAGAUUAUUUUAAUCAUACGUGUACAAUGUUUUUAUUAGAUAUUAUUAUUAUAAUUUUGCAUGUCAUUCCCUCAUGACUUAAAGUAGUUUAAAAACAGUAUGUUUACAAAUAUUUAUUUGACAUUAUGUUGUAUAUUAAGUUGAUUAAAUGUAUGUGUAUAUCAUGUAUGACUGUAUUAAUCAUGUUGGGCGAUAAUGUGGACAUGGUCAGAAAAAUAGAUAAUUUCAGACUGACUCUUCUUUCUAUAGAGGUUGAUUGAAAAAAUGAAUGUGUGAUGAUAACCAACGCUGUCCUUAAAAAGGAUAAGAGGGUCGUGUGGUGAAUAAAGCUAGAGCAUGAGUCAAGAUAGAAGAUAAUGAGACGGCUGACUAGACCGUUAGACAGCAGAUAACCCUCAGAGUAAUUGAUACGAAACAGGAUGAUUCAAAUAUUUAUAUUUUCUUUUACAUUCAAAAUCGGUCAGAUACACUCCCUUCUUUAUAUUUCUAUGUCAGGUCAAUGAAAUGUCAUGAGAACAAAAUCUGCAUUUUACAAACACACUCCUCUCUGUAAACCAGGUGCUUUGAAUGAAACCACAGACAAGGGAACACUGAUUGAUUAAGAUUUCCUGUCACUCACUGCAAGAAAAAUGUAAUUUCAUUGAGUGUCUCAGGGGCUGACCUCUUUAAAAUCUGAACCCGUGCAACAGCGCAGAAAAGAAGUUCAACUUUCCUGCUGAGUAGCCACGUUCCAAUUGCAUCAUACGGUAAGACACAUAUUAACGGAUACUGUGUGUUAAAAUGAAUUGUUAAUGCCAAAGGUGCACCUGUUUGUUAUUGCAUGAUUUUGCUUUGAAUUGACCUACAAUUACUUAUCUUAUAUUAUUUUGUGAAAUUUCCUUGACUGUUUGAGGGAUCAGGACAACCACCUUCAAAAGAAAAUACAUGUAUUAAAAUGCAAUCCCAUCCUUUUGGGUAUUGUAAUAAUAUGUGUAUCAUACUUAUUGUAUUUCUAUGUCUGAUUAGAUAAGGGUUAAGAUAUUUAUCCUGUAAUUCCCAAGAUCAAAAAUAAAGAAAAGGUGCAUUUUUUCCCAGGUAGUGCUAUGGAUAAUCCAUCUCAUAAUGGGAUCGAUGAAGAAAAGAAAGGUUUGUAAAUAAAUUAUACAAAGCUAUGGAGCUGCCACAGCAACUGCAAAGAUCCAGGCUUAUUUGAAAGAAGAAUAAUAUCCAACUCAACAUCGCCAUCACAGGACAGUCUGGCUCUGGUAAAUCCACCUUUGUUAAUGCCUUUAGAGGCAUAGACAAGAAGGAUAAGAGUGCUGCAGCUGCCCCUACUGGUUGUACAGA